GAUAUGGGGACACGUUCUGCCACGGUGAACAACCGAGAGCAGAACACCUGUCGCAGUUCACCUGAAUCAAUAUGGCCCAAUGACCGUUUUCAUGAUGAGAGCCUCACGGGGUCUGGUACAGAAACCAGAGCCAGGAGCAGAACUGGAGAAGCUCGUGGAACAUCUCUGCACCAACAGAACAGAUCCCUGAACUUGGAAACAUCCCAGACUGCUGGAGAGCCGCUAAACACCUGACCCAAGUCUCUUGUUUGACAUCAUGGAUGAAACAUUACCCAGUAGCUCCUCCUGGAUCAGAUGCACCUGGUGUUGUGCAGAGG